rnacentral:rRNA from 1 species
GACGAACGCUGGCGGCGUGCUUAACACAUGCAAGUCGAGCGGUAAGGCCCUUCGGGGUACACGAGCGGCGAACGGGUGAGUAACACGUGGGUGACCUGCCUCUAGCUCUGGGAUAAGCCUGGGAAACUGGGUCUAAUACCGGAUAUGACUCCACGGCGCAUGUUGUGGGGUGGAAAGCCUUGUGUGGCUAGAGAUGGGCCCGCGGCCUAUCAGCUUGUUGGUGGGGUGAGGCCUACCAAGGCGACGACGGGUAGCCGGCCUGAGAGGGCGACCGGCCACACUGGGACUGAGACACGGCCCAGACUCCUACGGGAGGCAGCAGUGGGGAAUCUUGCGCAAUGGGCGAAAGCCUGACGCAGCGACGCCGCGUGA